CACGUAGUUAGCCGGGGCUUCCUCCUCAAGUACCGUCAUUAUCUUCCUUGAGGACAGAGCUUUACGACCCGAAGGCCUUCAUCGCUCACGCGGCGUUGCUGCAUCAGGCUUUCGCCCAUUGUGCAAUAUUCCCCACUGCUGCCUCCCGUAGGAGUUUGGACCGUGUCUCAGUUUCAAUGUGGCCGAUCACCCUCUCAGGUCGGCUACUGAUCGUCGCCUUGGUAAGCCGUUACCUUACCAACUAGCUAAUCAGACGCGGGUCCAUCCUGUACCGCAAAAGCUUUGAUACUUCUACCAUGCGAUAAAAGUACUUUAUCUCGUAUUAGCAUACCUUUCGGUAUGUUAUCCGUGUGUACAGGGCAGGUUACCCACGCGUUACUCACCCGUCCGCCGCUCUUUACCGAAGUAAAUCGCUCGACUUGCAUGUGUUAGGCACGCCGCCAGCGUUCAUCCUGAGCCAGGAUCAAACUCU
rnacentral:rRNA from 1 species